rnacentral:tRNA from 1 species
GGUUAUGGCUCAGCUGUAGAGCACUUGCCUCACACAUGCAAGGCCCUGGGUUCAAUCCUCAGCACCA